GUCCACGCUGUAAACGAUGAGCACUAGGUGUCGCGGGUAUUGACCCCUGCGGUGCCGACGCUAACGCAUUAAGUGCUCCGCCUGGGGAGUACGGUCGCAAGAUUAAAACUCAAAGGAAUUGACGGGGGCCCGCACAAGCGGUGGAGCAUGUGGUUCAAUUCGACGCAACGCGCAGAACCUUACCCGGGCUAGACAACAGUGGACCGCCCCAGAGAUGGGGCUUUCCCUUCGGGGACCGCUGGUUCAGGUGCUGCAUGGCUGUCGU
rnacentral:rRNA from 1 species